GACGAACGCUGGCGGCGUGCCUAAUACAUGCAAGUCGAACGCACAGUUUAUACCGUAGCUUGCUACACCAUAGACUGUGAGUUGCGAACGGGUGAGUAACGCGUAGGUAACCUGCCUGGUAGCGGGGGAUAACUAUUGGAAACGAUAGCUAAUACCGCAUAAUAUUAAUUAUUGCAUGAUAAUUAAUUGAAAGGUGCAAUUGCACCACUACCAGAUGGACCUGCGUUGUAUUAGCUAGUAGGUGAGGUAACGGCUCACCUAGGCGACGGUACAUAGCCGACCUGAGAGGGUGAUCGGCCACACUGGGACUGAGACACGGCCCAGACUCCUACGGGAGGCAGCAGUAGGGAAUCUUCGGCAAUGGACGAAAGUCUGACCGAGCAACGCCGCGUGAGUGAAGAAGGUUUUCGGAUCGUAAAGCUCUGUUGUAAGAGAAGAACGGGUGUGAGAGUGGAAAGUUCACACUGUGACGGUAUCUUACCAGAAAGGGACGGCUAACUACGUG
rnacentral:rRNA from 1 species